AAGAGCACAAGAUUAAUUAUUUCCAUACACAGUUGUUAAUUAUGUUUCCAAGCUGCAGCUGAUAUGGCAAGUAGCCAAAUUUGUCCCCAAGCACACUGUCCUCAUUUUUGAUAAUAAAGAGAUUUUCUUUGAUACAAUAAUUACGAUGAGUACUUUUUCACUCCCAUCAAUUUGUUUAGAUCACCUGUGGCUUGCCCAACUGACUUCCUCUUUCUAAUGAAACACUCAAGUUUUGAAAUUCCUUUCUUUUUCAGGUGUUGUCCCCAAAAAUUGGCCCCAUGUUCUCCUGGAAUUUAACCUGUAAAAUAGGCUGAUGGUUAAAUGGUCGCAUGUCACUUUUGUUCACAUGAGUCGUCUGUACAGUAGAUGUUUGGAGAUUUUGAUAUGAAAAAAUAGAUGUUUGGAGAUUUUAAUAUGAAAAAUGUCCUUGCAGAAAUCAACUGUAAUAGGAAAUGGUUCCCAGCAAUUCUCUGCUGCAAGCCUAGAUUGGGAGCCAGGGAGAAGAUGCACAGUAAUCUAUCUCAUUGCAUCCUUUGGCUGUAACAAUUCUGACAGACACUACAUUCAGAAACUCUUUUAUCAGUUGUUCAUAACUUUCAAAGAAUGUUCUACUCUCCCUACACUAUUUGCAUCAGUCAACAAACAAUAUAUAAGCUGGAGAGAUACCAAAAUGUGUCACUGAGAUAACGAGACCUAAAAUGUUGAUAGAUGUUGGAGAGAAGAUACUGAGUAUGACCAGUACCCAGAACAGAUUGGAGUCUGACCAACAAGCUUGAGCCAUGCUAUCGAGAGGACAGAAUCUAAUCACUCAAAUGUACAAAGUAUUGUGAGAAUGAAAACUAGUGCUGGGCAUCAAAGCUUCUGCGUAGGUGAAUGAUUCGAUAAAAACUAGCCUUUUACAAUAAAUACUCUCGUAAGUGUGGUUAGGUGCCCUGGUAUGUUUUCCAUAUAAGUGUGUGUCCCUUUUGUAAUGCAAAAUAUACUUCUUUGUAAAGAUAUGGGUAUUUAGAUGAAUAAUUGUGUUAUGAUAAAUCUGUUUCAUCAAGGAUACUACCCUCAUCCUUGAACCACCGUUUUCAUUUAUUGGUACAUUGGUUAAGCUUCUUACAAAUAUUGCAAGCUGGCUGAUUUUGGUCUAGUGAGCAGGGCUUUGGGCCCAAGGUCUGCGUUCUAGGUUGGUGUCGUGUCAACAUAUGUGACAGACUAUUGAGACCAUCACAUGUGAUCAAGUGAAAGAGAAGUAACCCAGUCUCCCUAAUCAGAAGGGAGAAGAUCAUUCCUGAUUAAAGGAUAGUUCUUUCCUUUCUGUCAUAAUUUGCAUUAAACCAGCAUUUUAAUGAAGUUUUUAAAAAUAGUGUAAAGUCAGGCCGGUCAUGGUGGCUGACGCCUGUAAUCCCUUUUGGGAGGCUGAGGCGGGAGGAUCACCUGAGGUCAGGAGUUUGAGACCAGCCUAGCCAACAUGGUGAAACCCUGUCUCUACUAAAAAUACAAAAAUUAGGCUGGGCACAGUGGCUCAUGCCUGUAAUUCCAGCACUUUGGGAGGCUGAGGCGGGCAGAUCACCAGAUGUCAGGAGUUCGAAACCAGCCUGGCCAACAUGGUAAAACCCCGUAUCUACUAAAAAUACAAAAAUUAGCCAGGCAUGGUGAGGCGUGCCUGUAACCCCAGCUACGUGGGAGGCUGAGGCAGGAGAAUCACUUAAACUCGGGAGGCAGAGAUUACAGUGAACCAAAAUCAUGCCACUGCACUCCAGCCUGGGCAAAAAGAGGUAAACUCCGUCUCAAAAAAAAAAAAAAAAAAAA
ensembl:lncRNA